GAUGAACGCUGGCGGCGUGCCUAACACAUGCAAGUCGAGCGAACAGACGGGGAGUUUGCGCCUCUGACGGUAGCGGCGGACGGGUGGGUCACAUGUGGAUAGCAUACCUCUAAGACUGGGGUAAUAACGGCAGACCGGCUCUAAUAACGGAGAAUAUAUUGAACCGCAUGGUGCAAUAGUUAUAGACGGUUUUGGUGUCACUAAUAGCUGGUUCCGCGCUGGAUUAGUUAGUGGGUAAGGUAACGGCUUAGCAAGGCUACGAUGCGUAGCCGACCUGAGAGGGUGGUCGGCCACACGGGAAGUGAGACACGGUCCAGACUCCUACGGGAGGCAGCAGUAGGGAAUCUUGCGCAAUGGGCGAAAGCCUGACGCAGCAACACCGCGUGAGUGAUGAAGGUCUUCGGAUCGGAAAGCUCUGUUGUUGGGGAAGAACAAAUGUGGAAUUAGCUAUGCAGGUCUUGACGGUACCUAAACAAGAAGCCCCGGCUAACUACGUG
rnacentral:rRNA from 1 species